rnacentral:rRNA from 1 species
AAGGUUCUGACAUCCGCGUUUGACCACUGUAGAGAUAUGGUUUUCCCUUCGGGGACAACGGUGACAGGUGGUGCAUGGUUGUCGUCAGCUCGUGUCGUGAGAUGUUGGGUUAAGUCCCGCAACGAGCGCAACCCUUGAUCUUAGUUGCCUAUCAUUUAGUUGGGCACUCUAAGGUGACUGCCGGUGACAAACCGGAGGAAGGUGGGGAUGACGUCAAAUCAUCAUGCCCCUUAUGACCUGGGCUACUACACGUGCUACAAUGGACGAUACAAACGGUUGCCAACUCGCGAGAGGGAGCUAAUCCGAUAAAGUCGUUCUCAGUUCGGAUUGUAGGCUGCAACUCGCCUACAUGAAGCCGGAAUCGCUAGUAAUCGCGGAUCAGCAUGCCGCGGUGAAUACGUUCCCGGGCCUUGUACACACCGCCCGUCACACCACGAGAGUUUGUAACACCCGAAGUCGGUGGGGUAACCUUUAUGGAGCCAGCCGCCGAAGGUGGGAUAGAUGAUUGGGGUGAAGUCGUAGCAAUGU